AUGUGAUGUGUGCGAAUCAACGGGCAAGUAAAACCCAUAAGGCGCAAGGAAGCUGAUUGGUUGGAUCCUCUUGUGGGUUGCACCGUCAAUCGACCCUGAUCUUCUGUGAAGGGUUCAAGCGAGAGCAUACAUGUCGGGACACAAAAGAUGGUGAACUAUGUCUGAGCGGGAAGAAGGCAGAGGAAACUUUGGUGGAGGCCCGCAGAGAUACUGACAUGCAAAUCGUUCAUCUGACUUGAGUAUUAAGCGAACCGUGUAGUAAUUAG
rnacentral:ncRNA from 2 species